rnacentral:rRNA from 1 species
GAUGAACGCUGGCGGCGUGCCUAAUACAUGCAAGUCGAGCGAACAGAUGAGGAGCUUGCUCCUCUGACGGUAGCGGCGGACGGGUGAGUAACACGUGGAUAACCUACCUAUAAUACUGGGAUAACUUCGGGAAACCGGAGCUAAUACCGCAUAAUAUAUUGAACCGCAUGGUGCAAUAGUGAUAGACGGUUUUGCUGUCACUAAUAGCUGGAUCCGCGCGGCUUUAGCUAGUGGGUAAGGGAACGGCUUACCAAGGCAACGAUGCGUGGCCGACCUGAGGGAGUGAUCGGCCAACCUGGACCUAGACACGGGCCCAGACCCCAACGGGAGGCAGCAGGGGGAAUUCUGCCGCAAUGGGGGAAAGCCUAACCAGGCAACGCGGCGGGAGUGAGAAGGGCCUUCGGUUCGUAAACCCCUGUUAUUAGAGAAAAAAAAAUGUGUAAGUAACUAUGCACGACUUGAGGGAACCUAAGAAGAAGGCCCCGCUAAACUACGU